rnacentral:rRNA from 15 species
GGCUCGCCAAGGAUAACAGGUUCUUGAAUCCUAAGAGCUCCUAUGAAAGGAUUCUGAUGGCACCUACAUGUCGUGAACCCGCUCGAUCGAUUCUUGGGUACUUGUCUACGGCUGUGGAAUCAAUGAUGAGCUGGGUUAAUAGCGUCCUGCGGCAGUUU